rnacentral:tRNA from 1 species
GGGCCCAUAGCUCAAUUGGUGAGAGCCCCCGGCUCAUAACCGGGUUGUUCCUGGUUCGAUCCCAGGUGGGCCCAC